rnacentral:rRNA from 1 species
CAAGUCGAGGGGCAUCAGUUUGGUUUGCUUGCAAACCAAAGCUGGCGACCGGCGCACGGGUGAGUAACACGUAUCCAACCUGCCUCAUACUCGGGGAUAGCCUUUCGAAAGAAAGAUUAAUACCGGAUGGUAUAGUUUUCCCGCAUGGGAUGAUUAUUAAAGAAUUUCGGUUGUCGAUGGGGAUGCGUUCCAUUAGGCAGUUGGCGGGGUAACGGCCCACCUAGUCUUCGAUGGAUAGGGGUUCUGAGAGGAAGGUCCCCACAUUGGAACUGAGACACGGUCCAAACUCC